UGGGGAAUUUUGGACAAUGGGCGCAAGCCUGAUCCAGCCAUGCCGCGUGCAGGAUGAAGGCCUUCGGGUUGUAAACUGCUUUUGUACGGAACGAAACGGCUCUUUCUAAUAAAGAGGGCUAAUGACGGUACCGUAAGAAUAAGCACCGGCUAACUACGUGCCAGCAGCCGCGGUAAUACGUAGGGUGCUAGCGUUAAUCGGAAUUACUGUGCGUAAAGCGUGCGCAGGCGGUGAUGUAAGACAGAUGUGAAAUCCCCGGGCACAACCUGGGAACUGCUUUUGUUACUGCAUCGCUGGAGUGCGGCAGAGGGGGAUGGAAUUCCGCGUGUAGCAGUGAAAUGCUUAGAUAUGCGGAGGAACACCGAUGGCGAAGGCAAUCCCCUGGGCCUGCACUGACGCUCAUGCACUACAGCGUGGGGAGCAAACAGC
rnacentral:rRNA from 1 species